rnacentral:rRNA from 1 species
CGUAGGCAGCGAGCGUUGUUCGGAGUUACUGGGCGUAAAGAGUGCGUAGGCGGUGGCCCAAGUCUGGUGUGAAAUCUCCCGGCUCAACCGGGAGGGUGCGCCGGAAACUGGGUUGCUUGAGUACUGGAGAGGCAAGCGGAAUUCCUGGUGUAGCGGUGAAAUGCGUAGAUAUCAGGAGGAACACCCGUGGUGUAGACGGCUUGCUGGACAGUCACUGACGCUGAGGCACGAAAGCGUGGGGAGCAAACAGGAUUAGAUACCCUGGUAGUCCACGCCCUAAACGAUGCAUACUUGGUGUGGGCAGUUCAGUCUGUCCGUGCCGAAGCUAACGCGAUAAGUAUGCCGCCUGGGGAGUACGGUCGCAAGGCUG